GGGUGUUCGCUGCAUUGGGCAGCGAAACAGGUCGUGCGAUGGUCGGGCCGCCACG
rnacentral:ncRNA from 20 species